AAAUCAUAGGAAAAGUCGCUCACCCACCUCACCUCCUGCCCCUCUGCCCUCUUUCUAUUGCCUAAGCAGUCCUGCGCCUUAGGGUCUUUGCACUGGCUGUUCCCUGUGCCGGGAAUGCUCUUCCCAAUUUUUCUGCGUGGCUGAAAUGUCAUUUUCUCCAUGUCACCUCUCAAGGGCCCGAUCUGACCGCUUCAUUGAAAAUGGCACUCCCUGCACCCCCAGGUCUCCUCACCCUGCUUUUUCCUUCGGAGAACUUACCACCUUCUGAUAUACUAGAGUAGUUGGCUUAUUUUCAUGUGUGUUGCCUACUGCCCGCCUCUCCUCCCCCAAACUCCACCAGGGGACGGAAUUUUUGUUUAUUUGUUCACCACGCGCGAAUAACCAGCGUAGGUGAUCAAUAAUUAUUUGUUGAAUAAAUUAAUGGAUAGUGCUAAAUGUGAAGAAAACAUAGGGAGGACAUGGAGAGUGUCCAGGAGGAGGGGGCCAACUUAGUAAGGUGGUCAGGGAAGGCCUCUCCUCGAAGGGGGACGUAUGUACAAUGAAAAGGUGCCGGUCAAGCGAAAAGCUGCGCAAAGACGUCCCACGCGGGGGGGGGGGGGGGGGCACGUGCAAAUGUCCCGAGGCUAUCCAGGUUCUGAGUGUUUGAUGGACUGAAAGGUGCUUGUGGGGCUAUAGGAAGGCAGGUGGGAGAUAAGGUGGAGGAGGGAUGCAGGAGCACAGAUGAGGUCGGGGGCCAUAAAUCUUGGGAAGAAGGUUUAAGACAGGAAGCUUACUAGUGGAAGGGGAUGAGCACUGGACUGGGAGUCAGCAGGACCCCUGCUAAAGCACAAAGCCCCUGGGCGAGGCGAUUCCUCAUUUCAAAGGUUUGCUGAGCGCCGACUUCUUGACAUUCCUAGGUAUGAAAUCACGGAGGCCCGCGCACACAGUAGGUGCCCAAUAAGUGGCUGUGGAAUCCACGCCUGCGUGCAUGCGCAGGGGGACUGCGGCGGCCCGGGGCUCGGCAGGAGGGCCGCGGGACCAGGUAGGCGCGGCCGGGGGCGGGAGCGCCCCCAGGGCGGCCCGGGCGCCCGCCCCCCCGCUCCCCGCCCGGCGCGCGGGCCCGUCGCGGCCAGCCCGGCCGGCGGGAGCCGCCCGCGGGCGGCACUGGGCAUGCUCAGACGGCGGCCAGGUCGCGCCGCGAGCGAGCUUCCGCGCCGCCCGCACGCGCCACCUACCUGGGCGCCCGCGCCCCCGGAUGCUGCAGGUUCCAUGUAACUUGGCUCCAUCUGGCCUGGCUUUCCCCCGUCUCUACCCCCAACCCAGCAAACCACGUGCUCCAAGCCAGGCCUUCCCAAGCCUUCAUGGCAAAAUGCAGAUUCCGAUGCUGGGGGCCUGGGUGGGCUCUACGUUCUGCAUUUCUAACGAGCCCCUGGGUGAUGGUGAGACGGAUCCCCAGACCACACGGUGAGCAGCCGGACUUCUAUUUCACAAAUGAAGUUCUUCCGACACAUUUGCGGUGUAUAAAUAAUGUGAGGAUUUUUAAAUUUUGUGUUAUAAUUUUAACGCUGUUUUAUACAAAGUUAAUCUUAAAUUUUUUCAAUCCUAAUAAAGUCAGUUCUUUGUUACA
rnacentral:lncRNA from 1 species